GGCUCUGUGGCGCAAUGGAUAGCGUGUUGGACUUCUAUUCCAAGGUUGUGGGUUCGAGUCCCACCAGAGUCG